rnacentral:lncRNA from 1 species
AGUGUGCCCUCUGGCAUAUCCAGUGGUUAAGUCAACUUUUUUCCAUGUCACAGAAGCUAUGAUGUAAGCAUCCGGGGAAAGGAAGAACUGCUUCAGGAUAAGAGCCAAUGGGGCUCGCAGAAAAGCUCGGUUGGUGAAGCUCUUCAUAAGAAGCACAAAGUCCCACCCGCCGGAACUCAGCUGGCAAUGGCGGCACAGGCUUAUAAUCCAAGGGCUGAGCAGGCAGAGCCAGAGCACCUCCGUGGCUUGCUGGCUGGCUGGCCAGUCAAGUUCCACCACUGAGAAGCCUUGGCCCACAUCAAGGGCUCUCUCCUUGAAGGAAGUCUCCCAGACUACCCUCACCAACUGUUGAGAGCAGCUAUUCUUUCCUUUAAGAGGACUACCAUGUUCUGGCAGGAAUCAAUUCAUGAGAGCAAAUCAACCCACACAGUGACACUGUGGCCGGCUCCCCAGUUACAUCCCAGACAUUUCCUGACCUUUAUGAUACAUCUCUAGAGCUACAGAGGAAGGGAAAUGUUUGCAUAUGGGAUUUUUAAGUUACCAUGAGCAAUCAUGCUUACAUUGUACAUAAAGUCCCUGCAACUGUACAAGGCACUGAAAGGAAUGGGAGAAAGAAGUAAGG